UACAGAGGGUGCUAGCGUUGUUCGGAAUCAUUGGGCGUAAAGGGCGUGUAGGCGGUUUGUUAAGUCAUGUGUGAAAUCCCUCGGCUCAACCGGGGAACGACGCAUGAAACUGGCAAGCUAGAGUACCAAAGAGGGGGGUGGAAUUCCUAGUGUAGCGGUGAAAUGCGUAGAUAUUAGGAGGAACACCGGUGGCGAAGGCGGCCAUCUGGGGCAGUACUGACGCUAAGGCACGAAAGCGUGGGGAGCAAACAGG
rnacentral:rRNA from 1 species